rnacentral:rRNA from 1 species
UAGGGAAUCUUCGGCAAUGGACGAAAGUCUGACCGAGCAACGCCGCGUGAGUGAAGAAGGUUUUCGGAUCGUAAAACUCUGUUGUUAGAGAAGAACAAGGACGUUAGUAACUGAACGUCCCCUGACGGUAUCUAACCAGAAAGCCACGGCUAACUACGUGCCAGCAGCCGCGGUAAUACGUAGGUGGCAAGCGUUGUCCGGAUUUAUUGGGCGUAAAGCGAGCGCAGGCGGUUUCUUAAGUCUGAUGUGAAAGCCCCCGGCUCAACCGGGGAGGGUCAUUGGAAACUGGGAGACUUGAGUGCAGAGGAGGAGAGUGGAAUUCCAUGUGUAGCGGUGAAAUGCGUAGAUAUAUGGAGGAACACCAGUGGCGAAGGCGGCUCUCUGGUCUGUAACUGACGCUGAGGCUCGAAAGCGUGGGGAGCAAACAGG